UCCGCAGGCGGAAUAUUAAGUCAGUGGUGAAAGCCUACAGCUCAACUGUAGAACUGCCAUUGAUACUGAUAUUCUUGAGUGUGGUUGAAGUGAGCGGAAUAUGUCAUGUAGCGGUGAAAUGCAUAGAUAUGACAUGGAACACCAAUUGCGAAGGCAGCUCACUAAGCCAUUACUGACGCUCAUGGACGAAAGCGUGGGGAGCGAACAGGAUUAGAUACCCUGGUAGUCCGCGCCGUAAACUAUGAUCACUAGAUGUUGGCGAUAUAAUGUCAGCGUUCAAGAGAAAUCGUUAAGUGAUCCACCUGGGGAGUACGUUCGCAACAAUGAAACUCAAAGGAGUUGACGGGGGCCCGCACAAGCGGUGGAGCAUGUGGUUUAAUUCGAUGA
rnacentral:rRNA from 1 species